CAGCCGCCACGGUAAUACGGAGGGUGCAAGCGUUAAUCGGAAUUACUGGGCGUAAAGCGCACGCAGGCGGUCUGUCAAGUCAGAUGUGAAAUCCCCGGGCUUAACCUGGGAACUGCAUUUGAAACUGGCAGGCUAGAGUCUUGUAGAGGGGGGUAGAAUUCCAGGUGUAGCGGUGAAAUGCGUAGAGAUCUGGAGGAAUACCGAUGGCGAAGGCAGCCAUCUGGCCUAAUACUGACGCUGAGGUACGAAAGCAUGGGGAGCAAACAGGAUUAGAUACCCGCGUAGUCCAUGUCUCUUAUAC
rnacentral:rRNA from 1 species